rnacentral:tRNA from 1 species
ACUUUUAUAGGACAAUAGUUACUCCACCAACCUUAGGAGCUGGACCCCUAGGUGCAAACCCUAGUAAAAGUU